rnacentral:rRNA from 1 species
GGAGGCGUAGGGAAACCGAGUCUUAAUAGGGCGUCAUAGUUGCUGGCAUUAGACCCGAAACCGGGCGAUCUAUCCAUGGCCAGGUUGAAGAUGCCGUAACAGGCAUUGGAGGACCGAACCCACAAAUUUGAAAAAUUUGGGGAUGAGUUGUGGAUCGGAGUGAAAGGCUAAUCAAGCCCGGAGAUAGCUGGUUCUCCUCGAAAGCUAUUUAGGUAGCGCCUCGUGUAUCACCACCGGGGGUAGAGCACUGUUUGGGCUAGGGGGUCAUCCCGAUCUACCAACCCCAUGCAAACUACGAAUACCGGUGAGUGCAAUCACGGGAGACACACGGCGGGUGCUAACGUCCGUCGUGAAGAGGGAAACAACCCAGACCGCCAGCUAAGGUCCCUAAUACACAUUAAGUGGGAAACGAUGUGGGAAGGCUAAGACAGCUAGGAGGUUGGCUUAGAAGCAGCCAUCCUU